CGUGUCGUGAGAUGUUGGGUUAAGUCCCGCAACGAGCGCAACCCUCGUCCUUAGUUGCCAUCAUUAAGUUGGGCACUUUAAGGAAACUGCCGGUGAUAAGCCGGAGGAAGGUGGGGAUGACGUCAAGUCCUCAUGGCCCUUACAGGCUGGGCUACACACGUGCUACAAUGGCAUCUACAGUGGGCAGCUAUUCCGCAAGGAUGCGCUAAUCUCCAAAAGAUGUCUCAGUUCGGAUUGUCCUCUGCAACUCGAGGGCAUGAAGGCGGAAUCGCUAGUAAUCGCGGAUCAGCAUGCCGCGGUGAAUACGUUCCCAGGCCUU
rnacentral:rRNA from 1 species